rnacentral:rRNA from 1 species
UACGGAGGGUGCAAGCGUUAUCCGGAUUCACUGGGCUUAAAGGGUGCGUAGGCGGGUUGGUAAGUCCGUGGUGAAAUCUCCAAGCUUAACUUGGGAACUGCCGUGGAUACUAUCAAUCUUGAAUAUCGUUGAGGUAAGCGGAAUAUGUCAUGUAGCGGUGAAAUGCUUAGAUAUGAUAUAGAACACCGAUAGCGGAGGCAGCUUACUAAGCGAUCAUUGACACUGAGGCACGAAAGCGUGGGGAGCAAACAGG